GUAGGAACCAGAGUCGGGUCAGGACGUCCCGACGGGUUGUUUUAGGAGGUUUAUUCUCCCCCAGGACAGAAAGUGAAGCGUGAGAAAUGAAGACGGCGACACGUGCAGUCUGAGGAUUUUACAGAUAUCUGAUCUGAGCGAUAAAGACGGUAAAGAAACUUCUUAAAGCUCCUCUCUUGUGUCUCCGAGGCGCCUGUGGUGGUUCUUUCUCUACAUAAAGCACGUCCGCCCACGUGUUGGUAUGAAAACAGUCUGCAGCAGACAAUGAGGACGUCCUACGAGCUGCAUAAGCCUGUCAGCCUGCGGAUGGAAGAAGAAUGAGUGGAGUGACGAGGGAAGUUUCUGGAACAAGAAGGUCCACUCCUCCUUUAGACGCUGUCAGACCUACAGGAUCUGUGUUUUAAUCUGAGCGUGGGACGAUCUGGUCUGCAGAAACAAAACCCCCGGCUGCAGCAGGACGGUUCAGAAGGCGGAUUAAAGCAGAACUGAGGCUCGUCGACCCGGUUUGAUCCCAGAAAGAUGCCCAGAAUGACCCGCUGGCAUCUUCUCAGCAGGUUCACAACAUCUGCAGGUUCUGGUGGAACAUCCAUCAUCAGGGUUUCCUGGUUCCUCCUACAGGAUCCUGAGGUGUUCCCAGGCCAGAGCCACAGGACUUUAGACUGAGGUGUAAAACGAGCCACAAGGAACAGUUCCACCCUGCCGCCUGCAGAAUCUCUUUGGACUCUUUGUGGUUCCAGAACUUCAUCUCCUCUGAAGAGCCGCCAGAACCCUCAUGAGUCAGUGGAGGCGAAGCAGCAGGACCACAUGGCUGCUGCCGCCCCUUCGGGUGAACAAACCUCACAGCUCCAGAGAGGAGGCCAACGUCAGCAGCGCCGCAGGAUUACACAUUCACAGCUUUUCCCAUGAAGCAGGAAUUCCCUUCAGAGGCUUCGACUGUGCAGGAAACACGAGCCUCGGUGGUUCUGUGACGCUUGGAGAACUUCAGCUGCUUCAUGUGGACCACAGAGUCAACAGCCUUCAUUUUCAAUGUUUUAAUGUUUAAAAAAACGAGUAAAUGUGACCAAAACGCCACCAGACUCCCUUUAAAGAAGCUUCUCCCACUAACAUGUAACAUAAACCAGCCAGAAACCAGAAAAAUUCACUUUUAAGGAGCUCAAAGUCACAGAAUUUAGCUUUGAACUUGUUUCUUAUUGUUAAAAAAACACUCAAAAUGGAAUUUCAAAGUAACAGAUGCAGCAGUUUAUUAUGAAAUUUAAUAAAGAUGUUGUGUUUUUGCAUUAACCUGAAGAAAACAUUUAUAUUAAAAAAUGUAUGUAUGU